AUUGAACGCUGGCGGCAUGCCUUACACAUGCAAGUCGAACGGUAACAGGUCUUCGGAUGCUGACGAGUGGCGAACGGGUGAGUAAUACAUCGGAACGUGCCCGAUCGUGGGGGAUAACGGAGCGAAAGCUUUGCUAAUACCGCAUACGAUCUACGGAUGAAAGCAGGGGACCGCAAGGCCUUGCGCGGACGGAGCGGCCGAUGGCAGAUUAGGGAGUUGGUGGGAUAAAGGCUUACCAAGCCGACGAUCUGUAGCUGGUCUGAGAGGACGACCAGCCACACUGGGACUGAGACACGGCCCAGACUCCUACGGGAGGCAGCAGUGGGGAAUUUUGGACAAUGGGCGAAAGCCUGAUCCAGCCAUGCCGCGUGCAGGAUGAAGGCCUUCGGGUUGUAAACUGCUUUUGUACGGAACGAAAAGCCUCUUUCUAAUAAAGAGAGGUCAUGACGGUACCGUAAGAAUAAGCACCGGCUAACUACGUGCCAGCCGCCGCAGUAACAC
rnacentral:rRNA from 1 species